rnacentral:rRNA from 1 species
AUUGAACGCUGGCGGCAGGCUUAACACAUGCAAGUCGAACGAUGAUUAUCUAGCUUGCUAGAUAUGAUUAGUGGCGGACGGGUGAGUAACAUUUAGGAAUCUGCCUAGUAGUGGGGGAUAGCUCGGGGAAACUCGAAUUAAUACCGCAUACGACCUACGGGUGAAAGGGGGCGCAAGCUCUUGCUAUUAGAUGAGCCUAGAUCAGAUUAGCUAGUUGGUGGGGUAAAGGCCCACCAAGGCGACGAUCUGUAACUGGUCUGAGAGGAUGAUCAGUCACACCGGAACUGAGACACGGUCCGGACUCCUACGGGAGGCAGCAGUGGGGAAUAUUGGACAAUGGGGGCAACCCUGAUCCAGCCAUGCCGCGUGUGUGAAGAAGGCCUUUUGGUUGUAAAGCACUUUAAGCAGGGAGGAGAGGCUAAUGGUUAAUACCCAUUAGAUUAGACGUUACCUGCAGAAUAAGCACCGGCUAACUCUGUGCCAGCAGCCGCGGUAAUACAGAGGGUGCGAGCGUUAAUCGGAAUUACUGGGCGUAAAGCGAGUGUAGGUGGCUCAUUAAGUCACAUGUGAAAUCCCCGGGCUUAACCUGGGAACUGCAUGUGAUACUGGUGGUGCUAGAAUAUGUGAGAGGGAAGUAGAAUUCCAGGUGUAGCGGUGAAAUGCGUAGAGAUCUGGAGGAAUACCGAUGGCGAAGGCAGCUUCCUGGCAUAAUAUUGACACUGAGAUUCGAAAGCGUGGGUAGCAAACAGGAUUAGAUACCCUGGUAGUCCACGCCGUAAACGAUGUCUACUAGCCGUUGGGGUCCUUGAGACUUUAGUGGCGCAGUUAACGCGAUAAGUAGACCGCCUGGGGAGUACGGCCGCAAGGUUAAAACUCAAAUGAAUUGACGGGGGCCCGCACAAGCGGUGGAGCAUGUGGUUUAAUUCGAUGCAACGCGAAGAACCUUACCUGGUCUUGACAUAGUGAGAAUCCUGCAGAGAUGCGGGAGUGCCUUCGGGAAUUCACAUACAGGUGCUGCAUGGCUGUCGUCAGCUCGUGUCGUGAGAUGUUGGGUUAAGUCCCGCAACGAGCGCAACCCUUUUCCUUAUUUGCCAGCGGGUUAAGCCGGGAACUUUAAGGAUACUGCCAGUGACAAACUGGAGGAAGGCGGGGACGACGUCAAGUCAUCAUGGCCCUUACGACCAGGGCUACACACGUGCUACAAUGGUAGGUACAGAGGGUUGCUACACAGCGAUGUGAUGCUAAUCUCAAAAAGCCUAUCGUAGUCCGGAUUGGAGUCUGCAACUCGACUCCAUGAGGUCGGAAUCGCUAGUAAUCGCAGAUCAGAAUGCUGCGGUGAAUACGUUCCCGGGCCU